AGAGUUUGAUCCUGGCUCAGGAUGAACGCCGGCGGUGUGCCUAAUACAUGCAAGUCGAACGCGUUGGCCCAACUGAUUGGACGUGCUUGCACGGACUUGACGUUGGUUUACCAGCGAGUGGCGGACGGGUGAGUAACACGUAGGUAACCUGCCCCAAAGCGGGGGAUAACAUUUGGAAACAGAUGCUAAUACCGCAUAACAAUUUGAAUCGCAUGAUUCAGAUUUAAAAGAUGGUUUCGGCUAUCACUUUGGGAUGGACCUGCGGCGCAUUAGCUUGUUGGUAGGGUAAUGGCCUACCAAGGCUGUGAUGCGUAGCCGAGUUGAGAGACUGAUCGGCCACAAUGGAACUGAGACACGGUCCAUACUCCUACGGGAGGCAGCAGUAGGGAAUCUUCCACAAUGGGCGCAAGCCUGAUGGAGCAACACCGCGUGAGUGAAGAAGGGUUUCGGCUCGUAAAGCUCUGUUGUUAGAGAAGAACGUGCGUGAGAGUAACUGUUCACGCAGUGACGGUAUCUAACCAGAAAGUCACGGCUAACUACGCGCCAGCAGCCGCGGUAAUACGUAGGUGGCAAGCGUUAUCCGGAUUUAUUGGGCGUAAAGCGAGCGCAGGCGGUUUGAUAAGUCUGAUGUGAAAGCCUUUGGCUUAACCAAAGAAGUGCAUCGGAAACUGUCAGACUUGAGUGCAGAAGAGGACAGUGGAACUCCAUGUGUAGCGGUGGAAUGCGUAGAUAUAUGGAAGAACACCAGUGGCGAAGGCGGCUGUCUGGUCUGCAACUGACGCUGAGGCUCGAAAGCAUGGGUAGCGAACAGGAUUAGAUACCCUGGUAGUCCAUGCCGUAAACGAUGAGUGCUAGGUGUUGGAGGGUUUCCGCCCUUCAGUGCCGCAGCUAACGCAUUAAGCACUCCGCCUGGGAGUACGACCGCAAGGUUGAAACUCAAGGAAUGACGGGGCCCGCACAAGCGGUGGAGCAUGUGUUUAAUCGAGCUACGCGAAGAACCUUACCAGGUCUGACAUCUGCGCACCCUAAAAGAUAGGGCGUUUCUUCGGGACGCAAUGACAAGGGGGUGCAUGGUCGUCGUCAGCUCUUGUCUGUGGAGAUGCG
rnacentral:rRNA from 1 species